UACGGGGGGGGGCAAGCGUUGUUCGGAAUUACUGGGCGUAAAGGGCGCGUAGGCGGCCUGCUAAGUCGGACGUGAAAUCCCCUCGGCUCAACCGAGGAACUGCGUCCGAUACUGGUGGGCUUGAAUCCGGGAGAGGGAUGUGGAAUUCCAGGUGUAGCGGUGAAAUGCGUAGAUAUCUGGAGGAACACCGGUGGCGAAAGCGGCUCUCUGGGACGGUACUGACGCUGAGACGCGAAAGCGUGGGGAGCAAACAGG
rnacentral:rRNA from 1 species